GCCCCCAUCGUCUAGUGGACCAGGACACGGCCCUUUCAAGGCCUAAACUGGGGUUCGAAUCCCCAUGGGGGCA
rnacentral:tRNA from 1 species